rnacentral:lncRNA from 10 species
GGCGCCGGCUUCCGGCCCGGCGAGGUUUGAGCGCGUCCGCGGGCUGGGAGGCCGCUGGACCCGGGCGCAUGGCCUCCCCCGGGCAGUUAUCUCCUUGCCGCGACCUUGAGGUCUUCGGUAAGAACUGGCGUUCCUCUUUCUAACGCCGGCUUUCGGCCUUCGCCCUUGACGCCCAGGCCCGGGGAGGCCGUCACUCAGAAACUGCUCCAUCCGAGUCCGCCGCCUCGGAGAUGCCGAGAGCCUGGUCCUGCCCUCUGCCCCCGGCCCCUUCCUAGACUCACUACUUCAGACCGUGUGCUGUCCUGGAGCCAGUGAAACCAGACGAAAUUAAGGGAACAGCAGACGAAGGAACUGCCACCGUGCCCCAGACCCUGGUUUGCAAAUACAGUUCGACAAAGAUCUUGCCAGGAAUUGGCCUGGGAGAGUCCAAAGGACUGGGCUGGGGGUGGGGAAAUGAUUUUAGCCAGAAGACAAAUAUAGAGGUUGUACCCAGAAGGUUAAGAGGCUUAGGAAGGUUAAGAACUACGUUAACAUUUGGCUCCCAGGACCCCAGGUAAAGUGCCCUUGGAUUGAAUAGAUUUCUGAACUCCAGAAACAUUUAGAGGAAUCAAUAGAAUUAGAUUGGCAGCCAUUGUGCCAAUGGACAAGUGCUUACUGAGCCCCUUAAUCCCUUCACUGGGUAAGCAUUUGCCACACAUGUCCUCAAAAACCUACUUGUUAGCUUAAGUGGACUCCCUCAAGUUCAGAACAGGAGCAAAUAGUGUAAUCACAAGUUCCGUGUCUGAAUAAUCAUAACAAUGUUUAUAAAAAUAAGGACGACUGUUGAAAACUGCAACUGCAGCUGAACCUUAUGUGCCCAGACUUCAGAAUUCCCAUAGGCAAAAUGCCAGCAGGCCUUUGCACACUGAACACAUAGUGUUCAUAUCCUUCACUUUCCUUUCCUGCCCUCUCCUAUCUUCUCCAGAUCUGCCUGUGAAAGGACCCAAUUCUAGGACCCCCCAGGAUGGUUAGGCCCUUCCUCUGAAAGUACACUUUGCAAUUUGUUAGUCUCCUCAAGAACCCCAGCGAUCGAAACUGAUGCACACAAAUUGCAUGUGUUCAAAGGAGCAAUUUUGAAUCUAGCUUUGUUGAUCCUGGGAGAAAUCUUUGACCUGUGUUAGUGAAAGGCUAUGGUGUUUCUCAGCUGAUUAUAAUAGCGAGGUAGCUGAAUGCAAAAAAACAGUUUCAGAGAAUGGUAGAGUAUAUCCUCCAAAGGUGAUACUCGCUUCUCUAUUCUGGUGAGAGAAACAAGAGCUAAAGCAAAAUUCUACAGAGGGCUUUAUUUGGAGAGAGGUGGAUUUUAUUUAUAAUGCAUUUAAAAUUCAAAAUCUUUCUAGUUUGAACUCUUGACAUUCUGAUUAAUGCAUUUUUAUUCAACUGUUAAUUAUUCCUCGAUACACCUCGCCAUCACUUGUGUAUCCCUUUUCUACAUGUGACCUUUCCCUGGCCACAUCUGCUACUCUCUUUGAGCAUGAUGCCUCUACUGUAUUCUAUUCCAGAGCUCAUUGUUUUGUCAGUUUUUUUUCUCUCCACAAAAAAAGAUGAUCAAAUAAUUACAUAGAAUUUUUCCCUUCUCAGUCUUUGGGUAACUAAGUGUGGUUUUAUUGACGAUGAAAUACAAGAUGGGUCAUUUAAAAGCAACUUCUUGUCAUCACUUGGUAUUUUGCUAAAUCCACGGUGAGCUGGAGCUCCCGUAGUCACCUAUCACCGCGUGUAUUUUAAGGAGUCAGAUAUUCUCGAAACUGUUAAGAUCAUGAAAGACAAAGAGACUAAGGAACUGUCACAGAUUAAAGGAGACUAAAGAUACUUGACAACUGAAUGUAAUAUAUGACACUCAACCGGCUCCUGUACCAGAAAAAGGACAUUGGUUAUAUUGGUGAGGUUUGAAUAUCUGUAGAUUACCAAUACUAUUCUUGGUUAUGGUGGUUAUGUAAGAUUUAGAGAAGUUGAAUAAAGGAUAUAAGGAC